rnacentral:rRNA from 1 species
UACGUAGGGACCGAGCGUUGUCCGGAAUCAUUGGGCGUAAAGAGCGUGUAGGCGGCCACUUAAGUCCUGCGUGAAAUCUUGCGGCUCAACCGCAAGCGGUCGUGGGAAACUGGGUGGCUAGAGUUCGGUAGGGGAGAUCGGAAUUCCUGGUGUAGCGGUGAAAUGCGCAGAUAUCAGGAGGAACACCGGUGGCGAAGGCGGAUCUCUGGGCCGAUACUGACGCUGAGGAGCGAAAGCGUGGGGAGCGAACAGG